AGGACACGCUGGCGGCGUGCUUAACACAUGCAAGUCGAACGGAGUUACGUAUGAAGUAUUUCGGUACGGACUACAUAACUUAGUGGCGAACGGGUGAGUAACACGUGGGCAACCUGCCCUUAACCGGGGGAUAACAUUGUGAAAACAGUGCUAAUACCGCAUAACAGAGUAUCGGGCAUCCGAUAUUUUAAAAGGAGCAAUCCGGUUUAGGAUGGGCCCGCGUCCAAUUAGCUAGUUGGUGAGGUAACGGCUCACCAAGGCUACGAUUGGUAGCCGAACUGAGAGGUUGAUCGGCCACAUUGGGACUGAGACACGGCCCAGACUCCUACGGGAGGCAGCAGUGGGGAAUAUUGGGCAAUGGGCGAAAGCCUGACCCAGCGACGCCGCGUGAAGGAUGAAGGUCUUCGGAUUGUAAACUUCUUUGAUCAGGGAAGAAAGAAAUGACGGUACCUGAAGAACAAGCCACGGCUAACUACGUG
rnacentral:rRNA from 1 species